UCUCCUUUCGCUGACUCUUUUUGGACUCAGCCCACCUGCACCCAGGUGAUUAAAAAGCUUUAUUGCUCACACAAACCCUGUUUGGUGGUCUCUUCACACAGACACACGUGACAUUUGGUGCCGAAGACCCAGGACAGGAGGACUCCUUCAGGAGACCGGUCCCCUGUGCUUGCCCUCACUUCCGUGAGGAGAUCUGCCUACAACCUUGGGUCCUCAGACCAACCAGCCCAAGGAACAUCUCACCAAUUUCAAAUCGGGUAGGCAGUCUUUUCACUCUCUUUUCCAGCCUCUCUUGCUACCCUUCAAUCUCCCUGUCCUUCCAAUUCCAGUUAUUUUUCCUCUCUAGUAGAGACAAAGAAGACACAUUUUAUCCGUGGACCCAAAACUCCGGCGCCAGUCACAGACUCGGGAAGAUAGUCUUCCCUUGGUGUUUAAUCGCUGCGGGGACGCCUGCCUGAUUAUUCACCCACACUCCAUUGGUGUCUGAUCACCGUGGGGAUGCCUGCCUUGGUCAUUCACCCACAUUCCCUUGGUGGCAAGUCAAUUGCGGGGAUGCCUGCUUUGGCUGCUCACCCACAUUGCAGCCCAGGGCUGCUCACUACCCCCACCCCUUCUCCGUGUCUCUACCCUCUCUUUUCUCUGGGCUUGCCUCCUUCACUAUGGGCAACCUUCCACCCUCCAUUCCCCCUUCUGCUCCCUUAGCCUGUCUUCUCAAAAACUUAAAACCUCUUCACCUCUCACCUGACCUAAAACCUAAGCAUCUUAUUUUCUUGUGUAACACCGCUUGGCCCCAAUACAAACUUGAUAAUGGUUCUAAAUAGCCAGAAAACAGCACUUUUGAUUUCUCCAUUUUACAAGACCCGGAUGAUUUUUGUUGAAAAAUGGGCAAAUGGGUCUGAGGUGCCUGACUUCCAGGCAUUCUUCUACACAUUGGUCCCUCCCUAGUCUCUGCUCCCAAUGUGACUCAUCCCAAAUCUGUCUUCUUUCUCUCCUGUCUGUUCCUUCAGUCUCCACCCCAAGCUCUGAGUCCUUGAAUCCUCCUUUUCUACAGACCCAUCUGACCUCUCCCCUCCUCCCCAAGGCUGCUCCUCACCAGGCCAAGCCAGGUCCCAAUUCUUCUUCAGCCUCCACUAUCCCACCCUAUAAUCCUUUUAUCACCUCGCCUCCUCACACCUGGUCUGGCUUACAGUUUCAUUCCACGACUAGCCCUUCCCGACCUGCCCAACAAUUUCCUCUUAAAGAGGUGGCUGGAGCUAAAGGCACAGUCAAGGUUAAUGCUCCUUUUUCUUUAUCCGACCUCUCCCAAAUCAGUUAGUGUUUAGGCUCUUUUUCAUCAAAUAUAAAACUCAACCCAGUUCAUGGCCCAUUUGGCAACAACCCUUAGAUGCUUUACCACCCUAGACCCAGAAGGGCCAGAAGGCCGUCUUAUUCUCAGUAUGCAUUUUAUUACCCAAUCCACUCCCGACAUUAAAUAAAGCUCCAAAAAUUAGAUUCCGGCCCUCAAACCCCAUAACAGGACUUAACUAACCUCACCUUCAAGAUGUACAAUAAUAGAGUAGAGGCAGCCAAGUAGCAACAUAUUUCUGAGUUGCAAUUCCUUGCCUCCACCGUGAGAGAAACCCCAGCCACAUCUCCAGCACACAAGAACUUCAAAAUGCCUAAGCCACAGUGGUCAAGCAUUCCUUCAGGACCUCCUCCCCCAGGAUCUUACUUCAGUGCUGGAAAUCUGGCCACUGGGCCAAGGAAUGCCCACAGCCUGGGAUACCUCCUAAGCCGUGUCCCAUCUAUGCGGGACCCCACUGGAAAUCAGACUGUCCAACUCGCCCAGCAGCCACUCCCAGAGCCCCUGGAACUCUGGCCCAAGGCUCUCUGACUGACUCCUUCCCAGAUCUUCUUGGCUUAGCGGCUGAAGACUGACGCUGCACCAUCACCUCAGAAGCCUCCUGGACCAUCACAGAUGCUUUUGGCAACUCUUACAGUGGAAGACAGGACUAUCAGGCCUCUGAGCCCAAGCUAAGCCAUCAUAUCCCCUGUGACCUGCACGUAUACAUCCAGAUGGCCUGAAGGAAGUGAAGAAUCACAAAAGAAGUGAAAAUGGCCGGUUUCUGCCUUAACUGAUGACAUUCCACCAUUGCGACUUGUUUCUGCCCCAUCUUAACUGAGCGAUUAACCUUGUGAAAUUCCUUCUCCUGGCUCAGAAGCUCCCCCACUGAGCAACUUGUGACACACGCCCCUGCUCAUAAGAGAAAACCCCCUUUAACUGUAAUUUUUGACUACCCACCCAAAUCCUAUAAAACGGCCCCACCCCAUCUCCCUUCGCUGACUCUUUUCGGACUCAGCCCGCC
rnacentral:lncRNA from 1 species